rnacentral:lncRNA from 1 species
AAUAAACUAAAAAUAAAUGAUGUUUUACGCAGGGGAACUCCUCUGCCAAGCAUAUCUCCUGGUUACUGUUGGCUUUAUUUAAAGGGAACCACAGCUAGGAGUUAUUAGCUGUACAUAUGAAAACACAGCUUGAAGGUACUUAAACAUCUGUGCAAUGGGCCUGCAUGUAGGGUAUGAUGGAGUUUUAUAAACAUCGAGGUAAUUACGCCCUUCUCGAGAAUGGCAGCAUUUCCCUGCUGGCAGGAUUUCUAGCAGGCUUCUCGGAGCUGUGGCAUAUACAAGCCUCAGUUCUACCUCCCAAAAUGCUAAGAUGUAACCCUUUGAAGGCAAAGGAUACAAAGGAGAGGACCCUGGGUGACUCAGUGGGUUAAGCAGCUCAGGUCAGGAUCCCAGGGUCCUGGGAUUGAGCCCCGAGUUAGGCUCCCUGCUCAGCGGGGGGCCUGCUUCUCCCUCUCCCUACCCCUACCCUGUUCGUGCUCUCUCUCUCUCAAAUAAAUAAGUAAAAUCUUUUUUUUAAAAAGGCUACAAAUUACUGUAUCCAUGUCCUAGGUCUCAGAAAUACUCCUUUUCUGAACUGAGAUAAAAAUGUCCCUUGUCCCAAGGAACUUUUUAAAAAAUAUUCAAUGAAGAGAAAAUAACUAUCCUUUAUGCAGAGGAUUGAGUUCAUUGUGUACCUCGCUUGUCUUCGUUGGUCUGUAUAAGUCUCUCUCUUCUUUCUUCUUUCUCUUUUACCCCCUUCUGAUCCCUGGGCUCCCUCCCACCUAGAGGUCAGCUGUCUAACGUGGGUAUUGUAUAAAUAGAUGUAUUUAUUUUUGCUCACCAUUCUUUCGAAGUGAGUGUUGUAUGCAUCUUUCAUGAGGCCAUGCAUACCUUAUUUUUGAGAGUUCAAUGUCAGAAUGUGGGAGAAGAGUGGUGCACAGUGCCUGAUGAGGCUGGAGCAGCACCGGGGAGCGUGCAAAUAAUUUCCCCCCAAAUCUGGACUCCAGGACAUUCCUCCUGCACACAGAUGAACGCCCCCAUGAGCAAAUUGCCUCUCCAGCCUGUCCAGAGUCACCUAGACUGCUGGCAAAUGGUUUUUUCAGAGCAAGGUAAGCACUGUGGAGAACCGGAGGCUGUAUAUUUAAACAAUUAUGGGCCUCUGUGUGUCUCUGCCUCCUGCCGUACAGUCCCGAGCAAGAUGGUGUAAUAUGUGCAUUUUACAUAUCAAUGGCAGAGGAGGCUGUUUCCAGAUGGCUGUACCUAUUUCAAAGCCACCUUUUUAUGCAGAAGGAAGACUGUGUGACCUCCCUCCAAGUAAAUGUGUUUUGUAAGCCCUGGGAAUGAAUGCUUAAAAAAUGGUCCUGGGCUAUAUUUCAUGUCCAGUCCAUGGUGGUGUGUGUGCACAGCUGUUCCGGGCUGGCAUGUGGUAGCAUAUUAAAAGGAAGAUUACCAUUUCCCAUUUUUUCCCCCUUCUGAAGGCUUGAUAUGCAUAUAUGAAACUUGUGAAAAAACUCGGCAUAAUGAGACAAGGAAGCCGGGUCUCAAGGCACUAGUCGGUGCACAUCUGGAGUUUGUAGCAUUCUAGAGAUAGUUACUUAUUCCCAGGAGCCCCUGGCGGAGUGGGAAUGGUAGCCCGGUAUCCAUGGUGAGCUUCCCUAUCGCAUCGUGCCAGGUGUGUGCGUGUGUGUUAUUUCUUGGAAAGGCUGUCCUCUGAGGGGUGGGGAGGGGAGAGGACGAGAGGAGGGAAAAAAACAGAAGGGAGGUAAUUAGGCGCCACCUUGCCCAGCGGAGCCAGCUCAGGCGUCUGAAAUCAGGAGUGGGUAUUGGAGGGGCGCGGAGUCAGAUGGUGCCGGAGCCUUCUCGGCGCCUGCCAGCUCUGCGCUUGUUUCUAUGGGGACAGGACCAGGGAAGAGGAGCCCUGGGGUCAGAGGAGGCACACAGAUAACAGGACCAAGCGGGAAGGCUCUGGGAAGGCCCCUGCUACCUGCCUCCCACGCCACGUGGUGCUGGUCUGGAACUGCCCACCUGAAUUCAUGCUGGGUUUUUUUUGGCAGUUAAGAAAUUGGAAGUGUUUCAGGCCUUCUAGGCUGUUCUUUAGAACAAGCCUCUGCGGGGUAGCUUUUCUACUGGAUCUCCGAAUGGCUGGCCUUUGUAUUCCCAUGGAAUGGACAGAGAGGUGAGGGUCAGGGACCGUAGGGACCUGCCUUACCUGAGCGGGAAGCCGAGAGCGAGUCUGGGAACUUUUCCCAGGGAGAGGGUUCGUUGGAGUUUCACAGAUGCAUGGGAUUCGUGGAUUUUUUUUUUCUUUUUCCUUUUGAGCUGCAAGAUUGCGAGGUUCCAGAUGCUCUGUGUAAAACAAUGCCCCACAGGGGAAAGCCAGGGAGAGGAAGUGUGAGGUCCAGCUUGAGGCCACCCUAAAAAGGACUAUAAACAGCAGCUGCUUCUAUUGUGUGUGCCAAGCGCUGCCUGUGAGCUUAGGCCUUCUAACUCCUGGUUUCUUUCUCUGAAGCCAGAUGUGACCAACAGGAGUCUGUCAAGUCAGAGGUGGACCCCAGAUGGUGGGAAUCCGGCAAGGGAAGCAGAGGGGCUCGUGGAAGGUGUCUUGUGCCCUAGCGGGGAGAAGGCUGUCUGCCCUUUCUUGGGGGCCUUGGCCUCACCCCGCCCCGUGUCUGUGGUCCUGUCACCCAGCGCCCUAGGUCUGGCAGCUGAGGCAGAAUGGGAGAAGGGAGUCUUACUUGGCUGAUCUUCCAGCUCCGACAUGAGGCCACAGGAUGACGGCAGAGGAGUCCCCAGAGGAGCCACGGUGGGGUAAACCCCAGAUGUGGGGCAGGAAGAGGAGUCAACAAACGAGCUCAUGCCUUGGGACCCUGCAGCCCUGGGUGAUGAAACACGAGGAUGUGAGCAGGAAAAGACAGAGAUAUUUCACUCAGCCAUGCUGGCAAAGGGAUGGUCAGUUCCUCUGUUAAUAGGGAAUAAACGUCAACUUCAGAGCCUUACCUCUUCUAGU